rnacentral:rRNA from 1 species
UGGGGAAUCUUGCGCAAUGGGCGAAAGCCUGACGCAGCGACGCCGCGUGCGGGAAGAAGGCCUUCGGGUUGUAAACCGCUUUCAGGAGGGACGAAGCCACUCGGGUUAAUAGCCCAGAGGGUGACGGUACCUCCAGAAGAAGCCCCGGCUAACUACGUGCCAGCAGCCGCGGUAAUACGUAGGGGGCUAGCGUUGUCCGGAUUUAUUGGGCGUAAAGAGCGCGUAGGCGGCCGAGUAAGUCCGACGUGAAAUCUGGAGGCUCAACCUCCAGCGGUCGUUGGAAACUACUCGGCUAGAGUCCGGAAGAGGAGAGUGGAAUUCCUGGUGUAGCGGUGAAAUGCGCAGAUAUCAGGAAGAACACCGAUGGCGAAAGCAGCUCUCUGGGGCGGUACUGACGCUGAGGCGCGAAAGCGUGGGGAGCGAACAGGAUUAGAUACCCUGGUAGUCCACGCCGUAAACGAUGGGUGCUAGGUGUGGGCGGUGUCGACUCCGCCGUGCCG